CUACGUGCCAGCAGCCGCGGUAAUACGGAGGGUGCGAGCGUUAAUCGGAAUAACUGGGCGUAAAGGGCACGCAGGCGGUUAUUUAAGUGAGGUGUGAAAGCCCCGGGCUUAACCUGGGAAUUGCAUUUCAGACUGGGUAACUAGAGUACUUUAGGGAGGGGUAGAAUUCCACGUGUAGCGGUGAAAUGCGUAGAGAUGUGGAGGAAUACCGAAGGCGAAGGCAGCCCCUUGGGAAUGUACUGACGCUCAUGUACGAAAGCGUGGGGAGCAAACAGGAUUAGAUACCCUGGUAGUCCACGCUGUAAACGCUGUCGAUUUGGGGAUUGAGCUUUAAGCUUGGUGCCCGUAGCUAACGUGAUAAAUCGACCGCCUGGGGAGUACGGCCGCAAGGUUAAAACUCAAAUGAAUUGACGGGGGCCCGCACAAGCGGUGGAGCAUGUGGUUUAAUUCGAUGCAACGCGAAGAACCUUACCUACUCUUGACAUCCAUGGAAUCCUGUAGAGAUACGGGAGUGCUUCGGGA
rnacentral:rRNA from 1 species